AGCAAGGACUCCCAGGAGUCUGCAAGUUCCCAUGAAGCACAAGCUACUCUGAAGCACCAAGCCUUUAAGUUCACAACACAACUGUGAGUGGUGUCCUGAGAGGAGCAUUCAAGCUUCAGGUGAAGGAAAGCCACAGAAGCAGAUGGGUGUGUAACAGCAGAGACCUUGCUCUCGCACAGAGGUCCUUGCAGAGUGGAAAGGAGCAGAAUGGGCUCCACCAAAGCAGCUUGAUCAGGCCCCUGCCCAGUGGAUGGGCCCAGAGCUGGAGGGAGAGGAUGGUGCUGCAGAGCCAGCUGGAAGGGGGAGUGUGUGGGCUGUGUGUGUGUGCAGGGAAAUGGGGAGCAACUGGCACGUGCAAAGAGUGAGGACAAGGAGGGAUUCCAGCUGUGUGACCCAACACAUCAGCUGUAGCCAUCAGGUAAGAAAAAAAAAAAAGUGAGAGGCUGAUGCUGCUGGUAGGAACUUCCCACACUGGGCAGGGGGAGGUUUAAUUAGUACCCCAGGAGCUCCCCAGGAGCAGUGGACUCUGUAUUUUCCAGCCAUCUUCUGUUGCUGGUCUAAGUUUGUUCCAUUGAUUUCCCAAGCCCAGAAGCAAAUUACUGUUCCUAUGUUCUAGGUGCCAGUUCUCUUCCUUUUGCUUUUAGCCUUUCUCCUCUCCAGUUUUUCCUCUCUGCUCUGAAUAGCUCUCAGUGCUGCAGUCCCACUUCCCUUUGCUGGCACAGGCACCAGGAGAAAAUGAGGUAGUGUUUGCAUAGCACUGAGGCACUGGGACUCAGGAGAUGUGAAAUGUGGAGCUGCUGCACCACCUUUGGUGACUCACACCACCUUUUGUGGUUCUGCUUUCCUUCCUGCCAGGCCAACCUUCCAGACUGUAACCUCUCUGGGGAAAGGACUUGCUUUUAUUGUGAGAUCUGUCUAAUAGGACCCAAUCUCAGGUAAGAGCUUCAGGCAUUCCCAUUAUAUGAAUGAGAACAAGAUUGUUGGUGUCUAUCAUUAACAUUCUUGUGGGAUUGUUGGAAAUGCUUUGGGAUAAACACCACCUGGAAUCCUUGUCUGGCUUAUGUGGUUUUUAAGCAGUGGAGGAGGCUGGUCCUGUUCACACGAGGGGGCAUGGACCAUCUGUCUCUUCUCUGACUGGGUGUUGGAAAGUCUUUCAGCCCAAAGAGGAGUUGCAGCACUUUGGUGAGAAGCAGGACACUGGAAAAAUUAUGGCCUUGCCAGUGGGGAAGAAGAAUGGAGACUCAGUUAUCAGUGUGUCUCAAGCAGUGGUCUCACCUACAAACAAAGACUACAUGACAACCACCAAAACAGAGAGAAAAAUACCAAA